rnacentral:rRNA from 1 species
AUACGGAGGGUGCAAGCGUUGUUCGGAAUUAUUGGGCGUAAAGAGCAUGUAGGCGGACUGUUAAGUCUGGUGUGAAAGCCCGGGGCUCAACCCCGGAAGUGCAUUGGAUACUGGCAGUCUUGAGUAUGGGAGAGGAAAGUGGAAUUCCGAGUGUAGGAGUGAAAUCCGUAGAUAUUCGGAGGAACACCAGUGGCGAAGGCGGCUUUCUGGACCAAUACUGACGCUGAGAUGCGAAAGCGUGGGGAGCGAACAGGAUUAGAAACCCCAGUAGUCC